UACAGAGGUGGCAAGCGUUGUUCGGAAUUACUGGGCGUAAAGGGCGCGUAGGCGGCUUGGUCAGUCCCGUGUGAAAUCCCUCGGCUCAACUGAGGAACUGCACGGGAAACUGCCUGGCUUGAGUUCGGGAGAGGGAAGCGGAAUUCCGGGUGUAGCGGUGAAAUGCGUAGAUAUCGGAGGAACACCGGUGGCGAAGGCGGCUUCCUGGACCGACACUGACGCUGAGGCGCGAAAGCUAGGGGAGCAAACGGG
rnacentral:rRNA from 1 species